GGAAUAUUAGGACAAUAGGGCGAAAGCCUAGAUCCAGCAAUACCGCGUGUGUGAAGAAGGCCUGAGGGUUGUAAAGCACUUUCAAUAGGAAGGAAUACCUAUCGGUUAAUACCCGGUAGACUGACAUUACCUAUACAAGAAGCACCGGCUAACUCCGUG
rnacentral:rRNA from 1 species